AAGUAAAUUAGAUCUUUCUUAAUAAUAUAGCAGAGCAAGCUUGGAGCAAAACAAUCAAACAGCAUUGGAUGAUGAAACCAAAGCAAUCAAAACAAAAACAUCAAACUGAUCAAACCUAAUAAUAGUAAAAGAAAAGGGGUGUUCUUGUAGAUCUGAAGCUGUGUGACGACAAUAUAAACUCAAAAUACUGUUGAGAGAAAAUCUUUGAGCAAAUGAUGAUGGAGGAAAUCUAUCUACGGAUGGAUGGAAUGGAGAGGUGGAAGAGACGGAGUGGUGCUGUUGGGACCCACACUUCUUUGUAUUGUUUUUACGAUGGAAAUUUUAUCACACCCCUUGUUUUUCUGCUUUAUUACAAAACACGACACUGUCUUCCACUCUACCUUGACUUAAGAUACUUUUUGCUUGUUUAACCAAACCAGUUACUUUAGUUUUUUUUCUCCCUUUCUUAGAUUCUCAUAAAUAAAAAUUGGUCUAUGUAAUUUUCAAACUUUUAUAAAUUUAAGGAUUUAAAUUAAUAUGUAUCAUUUUCUUUUAAUUUAUAUAUUUGUAUUUCUAAAUCAGUUUAUAACAAUGUAAUAGAAAUUAUUCGGUAAUAUAUAUAAGGGAAUUUGUGGUCUAUAGUCCAAAAUGAUAGUUUAGUGAUGAAUCUCUGUAAAUCCAUUGUUUGUGGAAGUAAUUAGUGAAAUCACCUGAUUGUUAAUGGUCUUCUUAUUGCCGUAAAAGUUGAGCCAAUAUUUAAAAAAUUGAGGCAAUUUUUAAAUGUACGCAAUUAAAAAAUUGAAAGUUAAAUGUAUCUUUUUUUAAUGGAAGCGAACUCCACUAACCCGACACUACAAACAACAAUACACAAAAAACAAUAAACACUAAUAAUGUAAAAAAUUAUAAGAGUGAAAAUUAAAACGUAAUGUAAAAAUUUAUUUAUUAUUGAGCAAAAAAUAAGCAAAUCAAAUAAACUUACAAACCAAAAUAAAUUGAAAACCACACAUGCGUACACCAUCAAAUGAAAAACUAUGACAUACUUAACGAGUCGAGUAAUACCAAGAACCUCGAUCGCAUUCAGUAUGGUGCUCAAAAACUACUAGAAAGACUAUGAUGAAAGUAACUACACGAGGUUAGAUAGUAUGUAUACCGAGACAGCUGAAAUUUCUGAGAAAUGUAAGCAAGAAGAAAAAUGUGUUUAGAAACUUUUCAUUAUUAUGUUAAUGUAUUGUUGUGUUAUUAAUUAAUGUAGUUUUAAUUUAUAAAUUAAAGUGUUUGUUCUUCAUUUGCUUUACUUUAUAAAUUAAUGUGAUUAAUUUAUAAAUUAAAGUGUUUGUUCUUUGUUUGCUUUAAUUUAUAAAUUAAUGUAUUUUUAAUUUUUAAAAUAUUUAUGAAAAUGAUUAUUAUUUAAAAAUAAAUUUGAAAGGUGAUAUUAAAUCGUCAAACAUCUAUAAAUAACUCUGUCGAAAUAUGAUUACCAAACCUUUUAUAAUUGGGGAGAUGAUGUUAGUAGUUUGUACUAAGAUUGGUGAAGUAGAAAUGAUGUUCUUAAAAAUCAUUUAUUGCAAUCACUGUUUUAGAGUAUCUCUAAAAGCAUCCUUAAAGUCUUAAAUAUAAAAUUUUGUGCAUUCCAAAAACAACCAUAAAACUUUAAAUUUUAAGGUUUUGAAUAAUAAAACUUCAAAUAUAAAGUUUUACUGUUCAACAUUUUAUAUUUGAGGUUCAAUAUAAAAUUUUGUUUUUGGAGAUAAACAAUUUCAAACCUUAAAUUUAAGUUUUUGCCAAAUCUUAAAAUAAAAUUAUUUUUGGAGAUACUCUUUAACAUUAUAAACAGUUGUCAAAUUUAUGUUAUACAAAAUCAUCAUUUUAAAAAGUGAAAAAUUACAAAAACAAAAAGCAUUAUAUUCAGAAUAAUUCAUUGCAACUAGUAAAAACAAUAAGUCUUACAAACAAUCAUCGAAAAUAGUAAAAAGGUCUUUCUCAUGACAAAAUAAUCAUAACUCAAAAUAAAAUGCUCGUGAAAAAUAGAACAUGUAGAUCAUUCAUACAUUACUUAUGCUAA